GACGAACGCUGGCGGCGUGCUUAACACAUGCAAGUCGAACGAUGAACCCGGAGCUUGCUCCGGUGGAUUAGUGGCGAACGGGUGAGUAACACGUGAGUAACCUGCCCUUGACUCUGGGAUAACUGCGGGAAACUGUAGCUAAUACCGGAUACGACCCUCGGCGGCAUCGCCAGGGGGUGGAAAGAAUUUCGGUCAAGGAUGGACUCGCGGCCUAUCAGCUAGUUGGUGAGGUAACGGCUCACCCAGGCGACGACGGGUAGCCGGCCUGAGAGGGUGACCGGCCACACUGGGACUGAGACACGGCCCAGACUCCUACGGGAGGCAGCAGUGGGAAUAUUGCACAAUGGGCGCAAGCCUGAUGCAGCAACGCCGCGUGAGGGAUGACGGCCUUCGGGUUGUAAACCUCUUUUAGUAGGGAAGAAGCGAAAGUGACGGUACCUGCAGAAAAAGCACCGGCUAACUACGUGCCAGCCGCCGCGGUAA
rnacentral:rRNA from 1 species